GAACGGGUGAGUAANGCGUGAGGAACCUGCCUCAAAGAGGGGGACAACAGUUGGAAACGACUGCUAAUACCGCAUAAGCCCACGGGUCGGCAUCGACCAGAGGGAAAAGGAGCAAUCCGCUUUGAGAUGGCCUCGCGUCCGAUUAGCUAGUUGGUGAGGUAAUGGCCCACCAAGGCGACGAUCGGUAGCCGGACUGAGAGGUUGAACGGCCACAUUGGGACUGAGACACGGCCCAGACUCCUACGGGAGGCAGCAGUGGGGAAUAUUGCACAAUGGGGGAAACCCUGAUGCAGCGACGCCGCGUGGAGGAAGAAGGUCUUCGGAUUGUAAACUCCUGUUGUUGAGGAAGAUAAUGACGGUACUCAACAAGGAAGUGACGGCUAACUACGUGCCAGCAGCCGCGGUAAAACGUAGGUCACAAGCGUUGUCCGGAAUUACUGGGUGUAAAGGGAGCGCAGGCGGGAAGACAAGUUGGAAGUGAAAUCUAUGGGCUCAACCCAUAAACUGCUUUCAAAACUGUUUUUCUUGAGUAGUGCAGAGGUAGGCGGAAUUCCCGGUGUAGCGGUGGAAUGCGUAGAUAUCGGGAGGAACACCAGUGGCGAAGGCGGCCUACUGGGCACCAACUGACGCUGAGGCUCGAAAGUGUGGGUAGCAAACAGGAUUAGAUACCCUGGUAGUCCACACCGUAAACGAUGAUUACUAGGUGU
rnacentral:rRNA from 1 species